GCAAGCUUGUGUUCGUCUAUGGGAAAAUUGAAAAUCUAAGCUCGGCGGCUCGACUGAAUGUGUGUGUGGACCAAUGAAGAAGUUUCUGUCGGUUGUUUUCUUGCAGAGGUUUCGUAUUCAUUCAUUCAGUGUGGUGAGGGCGACCUUGACGGACACGAAAGCGCGAAGUGUUUGCCCAGUUCGGAAUAUCGGCGGAGUGAUAUAUUUUCAAAUACUGUGACAACUACAGGGGGAAAAUCUAAAGAAAAAGUAUUCAAAGUUUGAAGAAAUCAACUGUUAUAGUAAACUUUAUGUAACUAAAGCAUUGGUGAUAGUGUUGACUAAAUCUCUAAAAAUGAGAAAGUGAUUGGUGAUUGGUGAUUAAUGUAAACAAUUUGAAGUACUUAGAUGUUAAAAUCAAAUAAAGUAAAGUCAAACUAACGAAAAUAUAAAAUAAUAUCAAAACAAAAUAAAAUAAAUUCGAAAACUCUUGUUUACUGUUCUUUGUUUGGUAUUCGCGAUUUUAGUAUUUAUUAUUUUUUUUUAAUUUCAAGGUUAUGAAGUCGAAUAAAUAAAAUUCACAUCAUUCCCAGAUAGUUUCCAACUCCAAACAAACAUAUUUAUUCGUGCAAAUGAGCUCCACUAGACGCGGGCAGAUACAAUUUACGAAGAAUAAAUGGAAUAUAAAAACACCUAGUGUAGUGAUAGUGUACCCUAAGUACUGAAUAGUAUAUAGUGUCCGCAUAUAGAUUCAGUUCCACUGUUUAGGGGCUCAUUUGCCGGUAAAUCAAAGAGCUAUCAGUGCGCAUAAUCAGUGUUGCAUCCCGCCAGUUCAGUUGCUUGCUUUGUGGUUAACUGCACUGCGGAUGCUGGCUCGAAGGCUCACCGUCUUCCAUUCAAUGUGGUGUGGGCAUGCAAUGCUAUGCUCGCGAAGUUCAUGCGGGAAAAGGAAUAGGUGUCUAAACAAAUAGACGUCAAAGCCGCGGGGAGCGAAACGACACUCAGUCAAAUUGCAUAAAACUUCCGAUAAAUUGCGUGCGAGCGUGCAAAGCAUUGUGGUAAGCCAAUCUGUCCGGGUCUCUUGAAGUCAUAUGGAGUUUAUCGUUAUGGUUCAUAGUGUACUUCUGAUUGGCUUUGGUGUGCCAGAGUUAUCAUUGCCUCGUCUAUAUGUUGAUCACAUCACAAAUGUGCUUUCGUCAUCCGGGUCCUUGUAUGUAUCUGAUAAAAAAUAUACAGCAAUUUUGUAUGGACCUUCAUUUGCCGUAUUAUAUCCUUUCAUAAUUAUUAACAAAUAUCGCGGUCCGUUAGCAAUAGUGAUGAAAUAGCGCUUUUAUUUUAUCGUUUUUAUUUUUAUAUAUUACGUAUAUACGGCUGUGAGCAUUACAAUGGAAAACCAAAUAAAAUUAAUAUGUUUUUAAUCGAAAAGGACUUUAAGGUCAGAUUGCCUUUUCUCCAGUUGAGGUUUGAAUGAGUGUCAGCUUUUCGAAGCUCUCGAACUUAUCGACAUUUGUAGUCACACAAAUAGUGCCGCUUUGAAGACUUGUAAUACUAAUGUAGCCCACAAAGCCAAAUUACAUGUUGGCGUGUGAGAAUGCCACAAAGCAAUGAAAUAUUUAUAUGAAUAUAUAAACAGAUACGAGUAAUAAAUGAUGCACCAGCGUGGCAACCGACAACAACGGCUAUCCAUCGUACAUUUGUAUGGGAAGAAUUACGUUUGGCAAAAGCCAAUUGCAUUGUUUAAACCUGGAAUGCACGAAAGGCAAUGGGAAUAUGAAUAAUACGGUACAAACAGAAAAGAGUUAAAUAAAUGUUAAUAAUCACAUGCAAUAUAUUAAUGUAACGGUAUAUAUGCUCGUUUAGUUUUCAAUAAAAACCAAAUCAAUAAAACAUAUAUAAGCAAUGGUGUUUUGAAAAAAUGAGAGAAAAUUAUAAAAAGUCUACUUGACCCAUAUCUUAAUUGUUUUAACAGUGGAAAAGUUUAUCCUAUAUAAUUAUAAAUUCACUG